GGUUAAGCGACUAAGCGUACACGGUGGAUGCCCUGGCAGUCAGAGGCGAUGAAGGACGUGCUAAUCUGCGAAAAGCGACGGCGAGGUGAUAUGAACCUUUGACCCGUCGAUGUCCGAAUGGGGAAACCCAGUGUGUUCCGACACACUAUCGUUAACUGAAUACAUAGGUUAACGAGGCGAACCGGGGGAACUGAAACAUCUAAGUACCCCGAGGAAAAGAAAUCAACCGAGAUUCCCCCAGUAGCGGCGAGCGAACGGGGAGCAGCCCGGAGUCUGAAUCAGCUUGUGUGUUAGUGGAACGGUCUGGAAAGUCCGACGGUACAGGGUGAUAGUCCCGUACACGAAAAUGCACAUGCUGUGAACUCGAAGAGUAGGGCGGGACACGUGGUAUCCUGUCUGAAUAUGGGGGGACCAUCCUCCAAGGCUAAAUACUCCUGACUGACCGAUAGUGAACCAGUACCGUGAGGGAAAGGCGAAAAGAACCCCGGCGAGGGGAGUGAAAAAGAACCUGAAACCGUGUACGUACAAGCAGUGGGAGCCUCUUUAUGGGGUGACUGCGUACCUUUUGUAUAAUGGGUCAGCGACUUAUAUUCUGUAGCAAGGUUAACCGUAUAGGGGAGCCGAAGGGAAACCGAGUCUUAACUGGGCGUUAAGUUGCAGGGUAUAGACCCGAAACCCGGUGAUCUAGCCAUGGGCAGGUUGAAGGUUGGGUAACACUAACUGGAGGACCGAACCGACUAAUGUUGAAAAAUUAGCGGAUGACCUGUGGCUGGGGGUGAAAGGCCAAUCAAACCGGGAGAUAGCUGGUUCUCCCCGAAAGCUAUUUAGGUAGCGCCUCGUGAACUCAUCUUCGGGGGUAGAGCACUGUUUCGGCUAGGGGGCCAUCCCGGCUUACCAACCCGAUGCAAACUACGAAUACCGAAGAAUGUUAUCACGGGAGACACACGGCGGGUGCUAACGUCCGUCGUGAAGAGGGAAACAACCCAGACCGCCAGCUAAGGUCCCAAAGUCAUGGUUAAGUGGGAAACGAUGUGGGAAGGCACAGACAGCCAGGAUGUUGGCUUAGAAGCAGCCAUCAUUUAAAGAAAGCGUAAUAGCUCACUGGUCGAGUCGGCCUGCGCGGAAGAUGUAACGGGGCUAAACCAUGCACCGAAGCUGCGGCAGCGACACUAUGUGUUGUUGGGUAGGGGAGCGUUCUGUAAGCCGUUGAAGGUGUGCUGUGAGGCAUGCUGGAGGUAUCAGAAGUGCGAAUGCUGACAUAAGUAACGAUAAAGCGGGUGAAAAGCCCGCUCGCCGGAAGACCAAGGGUUCCUGUCCAACGUUAAUCGGGGCAGGGUGAGUCGACCCCUAAGGCGAGGCCGAAAGGCGUAGUCGAUGGGAAACAGGUUAAUAUUCCUGUACUUGGUGUUACUGCGAAGGGGGGACGGAGAAGGCUAUGUCAGCCGGGCGACGGUUGUCCCGGUUUAAGCAUGUAGGCGGAGGUUCCAGGUAAAUCCGGUACCUUUUAACGCUGAGGUGUGAUGACGAGGCACUACGGUGCUGAAGUGAUAAAUGCCCUGCUUCCAGGAAAAGCCUCUAAGCAUCAGGUAACACGAAAUCGUACCCCAAACCGACACAGGUGGUCAGGUAGAGAAUACCAAGGCGCUUGAGAGAACUCGGGUGAAGGAACUAGGCAAAAUGGUGCCGUAACUUCGGGAGAAGGCACGCUGAUAUGUAGGUGAAGUCCCUGCGGACGGAGCUGAAAUCAGUCGAAGAUACCAGCUGGCUGCAACUGUUUAUUAAAAACACAGCACUGUGCAAACACGAAAGUGGACGUAUACGGUGUGACGCCUGCCCGGUGCCGGAAGGUUAAUUGAUGGGGUUAGCGGCAACGCGAAGCUCUUGAUCGAAGCCCCGGUAAACGGCGGCCGUAACUAUAACGGUCCUAAGGUAGCGAAAUUCCUUGUCGGGUAAGUUCCGACCUGCACGAAUGGCGUAAUGAUGGCCAGGCUGUCUCCACCCGAGACUCAGUGAAAUUGAACUCGCUGUGAAGAUGCAGUGUACCCGCGGCAAGACGGAAAGACCCCGUGAACCUUUACUAUAGCUUGACACUGAACACUGGUCCUUGAUGUGUAGGAUAGGUGGGAGGCUUUGAAGCGUGGACGCCAGUCUGCGUGGAGCCAUCCUUGAAAUACCACCCUUUAAUGGCUGGUGUUCUAACGUAGACCCGUGAUCCGGGUUGCGGACAGUGUCUGGUGGGUAGUUUGACUGGGGCGGUCUCCUCCCAAAGAGUAACGGAGGAGCACGAAGGUUGGCUAAUCCUGGUCGGACAUCAGGAGGUUAGUGCAAUGGCAUAAGCCAGCUUGACUGCGAGCGUGACGGCGCGAGCAGGUGCGAAAGCAGGUCAUAGUGAUCCGGUGGUUCUGAAUGGAAGGGCCAUCGCUCAACGGAUAAAAGGUACUCCGGGGAUAACAGGCUGAUACCGCCCAAGAGUUCAUAUCGACGGCGGUGUUUGGCACCUCGAUGUCGGCUCAUCACAUCCUGGGGCUGAAGUAGGUCCCAAGGGUAUGGCUGUUCGCCAUUUAAAGUGGUACGCGAGCUGGGUUUAGAACGUCGUGAGACAGUUCGGUCCCUAUCUGCCGUGGGCGCUGGAGAAUUGAGGGGGGCUGCUCCUAGUACGAGAGGACCGGAGUGGACGCAUCACUGGUGUUCGGGUUGUCAUGCCAAUGGCACUGCCCGGUAGCUAAAUGCGGAAGAGAUAAGUGCUGAAAGCAUCUAAGCACGAAACUUGCCCCGAGAUGAGUUCUCCCUGAGACUUUAAGUCUCCUGAAGGAACGUUGAAGACGACGACGUUGAUAGGUCGGGUGUGUAAGCGCAGCGAUGCGUUGAGCUAACCGAUACUAAUGAACCGUGAGGCUUAACCUU
rnacentral:rRNA from 1 species